UAAAUUUAUGGGUUCGAAUCCCUAAGUUGGCAUUUCUAUGAUUCUAUUGUUACGACCCAAACUCCAUAUUUAUAAUGUCGUGACGUCACCUAGUCUCUACGAUUAGGUAAGCCUAACAAAUUGCGGAAAAUAACAAAACGAAAAUAAAACUUAGCAACUAACAGCAGUGGAUAACUGAAUAACUAGUAAAAAUGCCGCCUGGCAUGUACAAAUAUCAAUACUCUAUAAUUGCACAGUCUUCCCAAAACGAAACAUCGUAAGUCACAAGCUAAAGAAGGAAACUAGUAUCUCUAUACACCAGAGUCUAACAAAAGAAGUACAUAAGGUAAUUGACAUAGGGGAGAAUAGAAGGGGACUCCGAGGUCUGUGGACGCGACAGAUAUACCCUGAAGUCUCCGUACAGCAGCAAACACUCUCAGCUAAUAGCGGGGCUGAUAAGAAGUACUUGGAUCUGCACACAAAAACAUGUGCAGAAGAGUAGCGUGAGUACACUACAACGGUACCCAAUAAGUGCCAAGCCUAACCUCGGUCGAGUAGUGACGAGGUCAGGUCAGGCCCACUAGUAAAUAAUAAAUAAGGCAGGAGAAUAUAUACAGUAUAAUAAGAGACUAGAAUUUAACAAAAGGAAGCACCGGAAGGCAGUAGUACAACACACAGGAGUAAACAACAUGGUAUCUCCCGAAAUAUCGUCUCGUAGUCCCAAAAUAAAUAUAUAUGGAGAACUUCCGAGGUACCGCCUCGUAGUCUCAAAAGUAAAUAUACAGGGAGAGCUCCCAAGAUACUACCUUGUAGUCUCAAAAGUAAAUAUGCAGGGAGAACUCCCGAAGAAUCGCCUCGUAGUCUCAAAAGUAACUGUACAGGGAGAACUCCCGAGGUACCACCUCGUAGUCUCAAAAGUAAAUGUGUAGGGAGAACUCCCGAGGAACCGCCUCGUAGUCUCAAAAGUAAACACACAGUUCAAACCAGUAAAUACAACAAAUAGCAAGAUUUCUACAGUUAUACUGAUAAAGAACAAGGAAAAAUAGGAAAUCAACUAGGCAUGCUUCACAGAGUUCAAAUAAACAGUUAAAGCACGUAGACAUGCGAUAUUAGACUAAACAGGAUAACUACACAUAUUGGAAUAGCUCAAUUAAGAAUGAAAACAGACUAAUACUUAUUUAAACGGUAUAACUCAAAUGAAAGGGAAAACAGGUUGCUACUUAGUAAAAUAAAUCGGAAAAUCCCUCGCAGGUGCGGAAAUGACUUAAGGGGCUGGGUCCGCAUCUGCGAGCAAGGGACCGUACCUACGCGCCCGCUCCUACGGAUAUCUUUCAUUUCUGCGAAACCUCACGCUCCAGGCCCCGUCCGCUUCUGCGCUCCAUCUUUCGCACGUGCGAGUCUUCACCUGCGGUCUCCCCACCGCAGGUGCGAAAACACUAGAAACCAGAAACCUCAGCAAAAACACAAGUAAAAUUUUCGAUCCGUUAAGCAUCCGAAAUACACCCGAGGCCCCAGGACCUCAACCAAAGAUACUAAAAAGUCCUAAAAUACCAUACGCACUUAGUCGAGCCCUCAAAUCACAUCAAACAAUGCUAAAAUAUGAAUCACCCUCCGAUUCAAACUUAAUGAACUUGAAACUUCCAAUUUCUACAAUCGAUGCUGGAACCUAUCAAACCACGUCCGAUUGACCCCAAAUUUUGCACACAAGUCAUAUUCAACCCUAUAGACCUACUCCAACUUCCGAAAUCGGAAUCCGACCCUAAUUUCAAAAAUUUCACUACCGGUCAAAAUCUUCAAAAAUUCAACUUUCGCCAUUUCAAGCCUAAAUGAAAUACAGACCUCCAAAACAAAAUUCGGACAUACCCCUAAGCCCAAAAUCACUCAACGGAGCUAACGGAACCGAUAAAACUCUAUUCCGGAGUCGUCUUCAUACAGUUCCGACUACGGUCAAUAAUUCUAAGGCUUAAGCUUCCAUUUAGGGACUAAGUGUCCCAAUAAUACUCUGAAACCAACAACAAAACCUCCCGGCAAGUAACAUAAGCAGAAAAAGAUAUGGGGGAAGCAAUUAAUAGGGGAUCGGGGCUAUUACUCUCAAAACGACAUGCCGGGUCGUUACAUCUAUCUGCCUAUUUAUUUUUUGAAACUAAACAGGGAUCAUAUUCGGCUAUUUGACUCUCUUUUUUAAUCUUAAAACUUCUUAAUAUAAAUAACUCUUAAAAUUUGUGUAAAACCAAAUAACUUAAAAAAUAAACAACUUAUCAUAGAAGUAGUUUUUUAUUUAUAAGUUAUUUAAGAAAAAUUAUAUAUUAAAUGCCAAGCGCUACAAAAAUUUAUUUAACAAAAAGUUCUCAUAGAAAACUUCUCGAUCCUCUCUUUCUUCUGAUUCUAUGCUUACUGUCACGAUCCAAAAUUACGUGACUGGUACCUGGCACACUACCCGACCCGAGCGAACCAAACAUGACGUCUUUCAUGAAAACCAAUUUUAACUGCGGAAGCUUCUUGAAAAUCAUAUACAUUUUCAAGUUAAAUGAUAAAAUAUUUUCCAAUUCAAAAUCACACAUGACGUCUUGCAUGAUAAUAAAAAUGAGACUAAGUAAAAUAAAUAUACUUUUAUGUAUAUUGUGUACAACCCCGUUAUUACAACUUUUCACAACUAUCUAUGGAGUCUUUAUACCAAAGAACAGAAUUAAACAAUUGGGUUAAUACCCGACUAGCGUAAAUUAAGAAAACAACAUGAUAACUACCGCGAAACAGGAGUGGUGCCUUACCAUAUACCUCAGGAAGAAAGUCAUCCUAGCCCUGACCGCAUGCCACGUAUCAUACCUCAUCCUGAAAUAUGUAAAGUAAGCGG
rnacentral:lncRNA from 1 species